CCACAAUUCUGGCGUUAAUUAUCUAAGAAUCUGUACAUCAUUGGAGAGGGGUGAGAAUGUUUUUCCAGAAAACUCUUCAACACAAGUGAUUUUGAAAGCUCUGUCAUAGCUGUUGGAACUGAAAAAGCAAAAGGUACCUGGGACUUCUGAACAUUUCACAAGGAAAGCCUUGAGGAAAUCAAAGCACCUCAGGAACUGACAUAAGAAGACACCUCAUCCUUCUGCAAACGUGUCAAAACCGAGUAAGACAAAGGCCUUUAUAACUAGCUCGAUGCAGUCCAGGAAAGCCCUCAUUGCCUCACUGUUCUAAGGCCACUUUUGGUACAAGGAUUUGUUAUCUCGGCUGACAACUGCGCUGAAGCCUAUAAUAAGAAUCUCCUUCUUUCUCUCUAACAAGCAAAUUCCCUGUUUUCUGAGAAUCCUCUCUAGGAAGGCAGUGCUGAAUGUGUAUCAGACUUGAAAAGAAAGCCUCUCUACGCUGCCAUUUUCGCUUUUUAUUUUUCUGAUUUGCAACUCAGCUCACGUCCGGCUCGAAGAAGCAAUUCUGCGUGGAAAAUGCUGCAGCUGGUUUCCUCCAGUGCUCCCCAUUCAUAGCAAGGGAGGCAGCGGUGGGCUUACGCAAGAUCGGUUUAAAUGGGAAAUCAAUACUGGUUCCUCAGUUCCUACAAAAGAGCUGAACUGAGCUGGAUUGGCUCCAAGGAGUAAAAAGGAGUUGAGUGGAAAAAACUGCCUGCCAGUGGGAUAGGUGCUCUGCUGCAUAUGAGGCUGCUUGGGCCUCUGCCACUGAACCCAUCAGAAGAAGUCUGAGAUAACCUGGCUUACCUCCUACCAUCUGGUUUUAACUGGACGAUAAAUAUUGGAAAAAUAAAAGUUGGAAGCAUUUUGUUCCCUAGGCAUAUAUUAGCUUACAAAUACAUAAAUGUUUCUGUUCAGCAUCAGUAGGAAUUUGUACCUUGUACUAUACCAACCAGUUACAAAAGGGAUUGAAAACUUGUCCUGCAGAUGAAAAGUGAAAUCAUUGGUGUGAUUCCUUGUUCUACAGCUAAGGAGAAAUAUGUGAUCUAAUUAGCAAUUCCAUCAGACAUUGUUCAGUGAUUGGAACUUAGUUUCGCAGGGUCUCACUUGACAAGACUUUCUAUUUAAUCUCUUGUAUUCAAA